rnacentral:rRNA from 1 species
GUUGCAGUUAAAAAGCUCGUAGUUGGAUUUCUGAUUGUGUGCGCCUGCCCCGGCCCUACCGGGUCGCGCGGCGGAGUGUGCCGGUCAUCCUUCUGGGAAGCGUUCCUGGGAUGUAAGUCCUUGGGUUCGUGCCUCAGAUCGUUUACUUUGAGAAAAUUAGAGUGUUUAAGGCAGGCAUAUGCCGUGAAUACAUAGCAUGGAAUAAUAAGAUAGGACUUCGGUCUUAUUUUGUUGGUUUCCGGGACUGAAGUAAUGAUUGAUAGGGAUAGUUGGGGGUGCUCGUACCGUGUGGCCAGAGGUGAAAUUCUUGGAUUCACACGUGACGAACUUAUGCGAAAGCAUUCACCAAGGAUGUCUUCUUUAAUCAAGAACGAAAGUUGGGGGAUCGAAGACGAUCAGAUACCGUCGUAGUCUCAACCAUAAACUAUGCCAACUAGGCAUUGGGCGACGUUGAUUAGGACUCGCUCAGCACCUUAUGAGAAAUCAAAAGUCUUUGGGUUCUGGGGGGAGUAUGGUC